rnacentral:tRNA from 1 species
GCCGGUUUAGCUCAGCUGGUAGAGCACCCGCCUUGUAAGCGGGAGGUCGCAGGUUCGAUUCCUGCAGCCGGCACCA